CUAAAGGCCCUUUUCAGGGCCACCCACUUUAUCAUAAAGAGGGCUU
rfam:Neotoma lepida isolate 417 scaffold_1433, whole genome shotgun sequence.